rnacentral:rRNA from 1 species
CCAGAGGUUACUGCUAUCGGUGUUCGCCUAAGCCAUGCGAGUCAUAUGUUCUUCGUGAACAUGGCGUACUGCUCAGUAACACGUGGAUAACCUGCCCUUGGGUCCGGCAUAACCCCGGGAAACUGGGGAUAAUUCCGGAUAACGCACAUAUGCUGGAAUGCUUUAUGCGUAAAAUGGAUUCGUCUGCCCAAGGAUGGGUCUGCGGCCUAUCAGGUAGUAGUGGGUGUAAUGUACCUACUAGCCAACAACGGGUACGGGUUGUGAGAGCAAGAGCCCGGAGAUGGAUUCUGAGACAUGAAUCCAGGCCCUACGGGGCGCAGCAGGCGCGAAAACUUUACAAUGCGGGAAACCGUGAUAAGGGGACACCGAGUGCCAGCAUCAUAUGCUGGCUGUCCGGGUGUGUAAAAUACACCCGUUAGCAAGGGCCGGGCAAGACCGGUGCCAGCCGCCGCGGUAACACCGGCGGCCCGAGUGGUGAUCGUGAUUAUUGGGUCUAAAGGGUCCGUAGCCGGUUUGGUCAGUCCUCCGGGAAAUCUGAUAGCUCAACUAUUAGGCUUUCGGGGGAUACUGCCAGGCUUGGAACCGGGAGAGGUAAGAGGUACUACAGGGGUAGGAGUGAAAUCUUGUAAUCCCUGUGGGACCACCUGUGGCGAAGGCGUCUUACCAGAACGGGUUCGACGGUGAGGGACGAAAGCUGGGGGCACGAACCGGAUUAGAUACCCGGGUAGUCCCAGCCGUAAACGAUGCUCGCUAGGUGUCAGGCAUGGCGCGACCGUGUCUGGUGCCGCAGGGAAGCCGUGAAGCGAGCCACCUGGGAAGUACGGCCGCAAGGCUGAAACUUAAAGGAAUUGGCGGGGGAGCAC